GGACGGCCCUAAGUGACACCUCCCAACAGGACAUCACGAGUGGUUGCUUGGACCUGAGGUGGACAUUCUCCCCUUUUUGCUCCUGCCCUUGGCUGGGCCUGAGGAUUUCUCCGAGGAAGAGAUGGAACGGCUGCCUGUCGACUUGCAGUACCUGCCACCAGACAAGCAGCGAGAACCUGAUGCAGACAUCCGCAAGAUGCUUGUUGAAGCCAUCAUGCUGCUGACAGCCACAGCACCAGGUCGGCAGCAGGUGCGGGACCAGGGAGCCUACCUGAUCCUUCGAGAGCUGCACAGCUGGGAGCCGGAGCCCGACGUGCGGACGGCUUGUGAGAAGCUCAUCC
rnacentral:lncRNA from 1 species